GUGUUAUCUUCCUCCUUUUACUUCCUCCUCGUGCUGGUGGCUUAUUAGUGAUCACACACAUGCUGUCCGCUUCACACAAACACUCAUCAGCGCCUGAUACGUACGUGCCCCGGAGAGCCCCCGCGGAAGACCAGGCCAACACCAGGAGCCCUGAAGAUCCAACCAACGCUGAAGCGAGCGGAUCAAAGGUCUUUUCACACAUCUACCGGUCUCUCAAUGAUCUAGACUCUUCUCUUAGAGUAUUUGACAGACUGUGGUUGACACUCGAUUUAAGGGGGUGUCAGUUUGUCAAAUACCCCAAGAGAGGGGUCACGAGUCUCCAAAGGACUUCGACACUUCGUUUGACACAAGUGACCCUGUUACACCCUCUGUGUGCAGCAGCGCAUGUGUAAGUUUAGCUACUUAUGCUUGUGCAAAAUGUCUUUGGAAAAAAUCAAAUAAGAAGAACCACAGGAUGUCUUCCAUAUAAUUGAAUCAUUUAUAGUGUGCGUUUGUGUUUAUUAGCUCUAUAUUGCUGCAAUCUUUCUGGAUGGAUGAACUGGUAGAUUGGAUACAUAGAUGAUAAAACAACAAAUGCCAGAAAAGUACCAUUAAUGCAGUGCUAUCUGUAUCAAAGAUCAUUAUGUUAUAUUAAAGUACUCUUACAGUCUGAACAUGAUUUAGAUAGCUUGUGUUUAGCAUGCUGAGCAUACUGACAGCUGCUGAUGACAGUUUGAGUUCCUUGCUACAGAGUUGUGAAAUUUGUGUUGCAUUGUUAGUAUGUGUUGUAAUGCUUGUGGGAGUAUGCUAUCUGUUAUCUGUUAGUAUCAAACAGUAAUUACUAAUGGAAAUUCAUGUUAAUACAGAAAGUACAUUUGCAGUUCCAGAAAGAAAUACCAGUACUUGUAAGGCUGCAAAAGAAUGCCGUUUAAGUUUUUGUUAAUCUUAGGUUUAGCAUUUGGUCUUGCAUCAAUAAAAUGUUGCAUUUGAGUUACCACUGUCAUGA